GGACCCGCACAAGUAGUGGAGCAUGUGGUUUAAUUCGAAGAUACGCGCAGAACCUUACCAACACUUGACAUGUUCGUCGCGACUCUAAGAGAUUAGAGUUUUCGGUUCGGCCGGACGAAACACAGGUGCUGCAUGGCUGUCGUCAGCUCGUGUCGUGAGAUGUUGGGUUAAGUCCCGCAACGAGCGCAACCCUCACUUUUAGUUGCCAUCAUUUAGUUGGGCACUUUAAAAGAACUGCCAGUGAUAAGCUGGAGGAAGGUGGGGAUGACGUCAAGUCCUCAUGGCCCUUAUGUGUUGGGCUACACACGUGCUACAAUGGCCGGUACAGAGAGCAGCCACUACGCGAGUAGAGCG
rnacentral:rRNA from 1 species